AUGUGUUUAAUUCGAUGAUACGCGAAGAACCUUACCAGGUCUUGACAUCCCUUGCAAAGCUAUGGAGACAUAGUGGAGGUUAUCAAGGAGACAGGUGGUGCAUGGGUUGUCGUCAGCUCGUGUCGUGAGAUGUUGGGUUAAGUCCCGCAACGAGCGCAACCCUUAUUGCUAGUUACCAUCAUUCAGUUGGGGACUCUAGCGAGACUGCCAGUGAUAAACUGGAGGAAGGUGGGGAUGACGUCAAAUCAUCAUGCCCCUUAUGACCUGGGCUACAAACGUGAUACAAUGGCUGAAACAAAGGGCAGCGAAGCAGUGAUGUGGAGCGAAACCCAAAAAAGCAGUCUCAGUUCGGAUUGAAGUCUGCAACUCGACUUCAUGAAGUUGGAAUCGCUAGUAAUCGUAGAUCAGAACGCUACGGUGAAUACGUUCUCGGGGUUU
rnacentral:rRNA from 1 species